UGUUCGACGAGAGAGA
rnacentral:misc_RNA from 1 species